rnacentral:rRNA from 1 species
GACGAACGCUGGCGGCGUGCUUAACACAUGCAAGUCGAACGGAAAGGCCCUGCUUUUGUGGGGUGCUCGAGUGGCGAACGGGUGAGUAACACGUGAGUAACCUGCCCUUGACUUUGGGAUAACUUCAGGAAACUGGGGCUAAUACCGGAUAGGAGCUCCUGCUGCAUGGUGGGGGUUGGAAAGUUUCGGCGGUUGGGGAUGGACCCGCGGCUUAUCAGCUUGUUGGUGGGGUAGUGGCUUACCAAGGCUUUGACGGGUAGCCGGCCUGAGAGGGUGACCGGCCACAUUGGGACUGAGAUACGGCCCAGACUCCUACGGGAGGCAGCAGUGGCGAAUAUUGCACAAUGGGCGGAAGCCUGAUGCAGCAACGCCGCGUGCGGGAUGACGGCCUUCGGGUUGUAAACCGCUUUCGCCUGUGACGACGCGUGAGUGACGGUAAUGGGUAAAGAAGCACCGGCUAACUACGUG